CCUUCUUCGUCGUUUACGCUUUUGUAACCGAGAGACGAUCAAACGACAUAGACUCCAUCACUCUGCAAUCAAUCCUUGGCAAUCAAUCCUUCCGAGCUCUAAUCUAUGGAUUCUUUUCGCCUUUCUCCCUCAAAGUUUAUUUAUACCACUUUGAUUUUUCACAACUUCUUAAUCUCCCUUUCCAUCCUCGAAAAAAAAACCUCAGACCAUGAAUCCCGACAACAAAAGCCCUGUUUCCGGCGACCUUAUGUCGAAGAAAGCAGCUUCCGCCGGCCCGAUCAAACCUACUGUCGAAUCCGGUGUCUCUUCAGCCAACUCUGUCUCUGUUUUUCCUGUUGCGGAGAAACCAAACGGCAAGUCCGUUGUGUGUUCCGAUGUGCCUAUCAAACGUCGGGGUGGAACCGGUGUCCCCUCCGCAAAAACUGCUCAAGUGGUGUUCUUUAGAGAUGUCAAGUUCUGUUUUGUUCAAGAAACAGAACCGAGCUGUCCUUGAGAGGAGAGAGGACAGAGUUCCAUGAGAAAGUGAUGGUAAGAAUCAAAAGUCUGGGAGAGGGCAGCUUUAGAAGCUAAGAAUCAAAAAGUCUUAUCAGUCUUUUGUAUACCAAGCAACGAUAUGAGAUUGGGACCAGUGUGGUUAAAGUUGAAUGGUGCACCUGAAGAAGUAAAAAAAAAUAAUAGGGAGAAGAUAAAGCUGUUGAAGCGAAAGACUACUGGCCUUUGGUUUAUUGAACUGAAGAACAAUGAAAUUACAACUGAGGAAGUUUGUGAGGGAUACUCUUCUUUUGUUUGUUUUUUUAAAGAAAAGUAAUUCUCUUAAUAUUCAUGUUUUUGUUUCCCAUAAUUCUAGGUAACUGAGGUGGUGGUCUCAAGUACCUUAACGAUAUCAACUAGAACAGGGUUGAAGAGCCAAAAGGGUUCAAGCUUGAGUUUUUCUUUGUUCAGAACCCUUACUUCAAGAACACUGUCUUGACCGAGACAUAUCAGAUCGAUCAAGGAGUAAGCUGAGUGUUAAAGGAGAUUAAAAAUAUCACUGGGCGAUUAGAUUCCACCAUAGAGGAAAUCAGAGUCCCAUCCCCAUCUUCAAAGUGCAAGUUACCGGAUAGGCAAGAGGGGGGAGCGAGGAUCUGAAAGCUCCGGAUAUUUUUAUUCAUCUAUUUCUUUUCUAUUGAGAAGUAAGAACAUCACCAAUUAUAUUUUUGAGGGCUUAGUUGUCUAACUAUAGUCUUCAUAUUUUUCAUCAGGAUCACUGGUUUGUUAGUCCAUUUAUAAAUGUGUAUGAGCUGCUGCAUAGCACACCAACAAUGUCGGAGGAACAUAAGUUUUUUAAAGUUCUUUCCUUUUGAUUGUUUUGAUACAUCUGCUAGCAAAUUGUCAUACUAUGUUCUGUGUUAAGACUUAAAUGAAUGAGUGAACUCAUAUUAGUUAAUCCACAUAUGUGUACUCAGUGGAAGUGUUCCACAAAGUUACUUUUGUAUGCAUCCAAAUACACUCAAGAGUUUGAAGAUGUUUCUGGAUUUGGUUGGCCAUAUGAAGCUGACCUUUCUCAUGAUCAGGCACAUUGAUUGCCAACAAGAACGCUGAGCUGCAGCACUGAAGGGUAUCUCUAAGAACAUAAAGCAUAAUGCUAAUGUCAAGUUCAUUUAAGGUCAUAGAAAGGUUAGACACUCACACUGUUGAUGUAGAUGUGAUUAUUUAUACUUCCAGAUUGCUGUUGGUGGUGGAAUCACCCCAUUCUUGACACUCCAGAAAGAGUGUGCCGAAUCUGAUGUCACAGUUGAUCUGCCUUCCAAUACCAACUAAUAUUUGGGACUGAUAACUCAACGUUGUCGUCUAUAUAUCAUUUUGGCGAGUUUAUCACAUUUGAACCCGUCAUAUAUUUUUUUCGCUUUGAUUAAAUUU